GUGUCAUCUAGCACAUAUAGUAACCUUGCAACAAUGAAGAGAAAAUUUAGAUGGCCCCUGGACAAGGAAACAUGCAAACUUUUGAAGCAUUUCAAAUUUAA
rnacentral:snRNA from 1 species